UUUAACUGAGCGUUCAGUUACUUGACGUAGACCCGAAACCGGGCGACCUACCCAUGAGCAGGAUGAAGCGAAAGUAAAAUUUCGUGGAGGUCCGAACCCACGAGCGUUGAAAAGCUCGGGGAUGACUUGUGGGUAGCGGUGAAAUUCCAAUCGAGCCCGGAGAUAGCUGGUUCUCCCCGAAAUAGCUUUAGGGCUAGCCUCAAGGUGAGAGAUACGGAGGUAGAGCACUGAAUGUCCUAGGGGGUAUUGCACCUACCGAAGACUAUCAAACUCCGAAUGCCGUCAUCUUAUACUUGGGAGUCAGACUGUGGGUGAUAAGAUUCAUAGUCGAAAGGGCAACAGCCCAGAUCGUCAGCUAAGGUCCCUAAAUGUAAGUUAAGUGGUAAAGGAUGUGGGAUUGCACAGACAACCAGGAUGUUGGCUUAGAAGCAGCCACUCAUUCAAAGAGUGCGUAAUAGCUCACUGGUCGAGUGAUCCUGCGCCGAAGAUUUCCGGGGCUAAAACUUACUACCGAAGCUACGGCAUCAGUAAUGA
rnacentral:rRNA from 1 species